AUACUUACCAGGCAGGGGAGAUACCAUGAUCACGAAGGUAGUUUUCCCAGAGCGAGGCUUAUCCAUUGCACUCUGGAUGUGCUGACCCCUGCGAUUUCCCCAAAUGUGGGAAACUCAACUGCAUAAUUUGUGGUAGUGGGGGACUGUGUUGGCGCUCUCCCCUG
rnacentral:snRNA from 1 species